rnacentral:rRNA from 1 species
CUACGGGAGGCAGCAGUGAGGAAUAUUGGGCAAUGGGGGAAACCCUGACCCAGCAAUGCCGCGUGCGGGAAGACGCCUUUCGGGGUGUAAACCGCUUUUCUGCAUGAAGAGGAAGGACGGUAGUGCAGGAAUAAGUCACGGCUAACUACGUGCCAGCAGCCGCGGUAAUACGGAGGAUCCAAGCGUUAUCCGGAUUCAUUGGGUUUAAAGGGUGCGUAGGCGGAACGGUAAGUCAAGGGUGAAAGCCAGCAGCUCAACUGUUGAACUGCCUUUGAUACUGUCGUUCUUGAAUAUGGUUGAAGUGGGCGGAAUGUGACAUGUAGCGGUGAAAUGCUUAGAUAUGUCACAGAACACCGAUCGCGAAGGCAGCUCACUAAGCCAUCAUUGACGCUGAUGCACGAAAGCAUGGGGAGCAAACAGGAUUAGAUACCCGAGUAGUCC